AAUUUUCAGUCAAAGUUUCUAAACUUUUAUUUAUAUUUUGUAAUGCGUUAGGUUUAAGGUUAGUUUAAGUUUAGAUGUAAGUUUAGUUAAGUUUUUGUUAGCUUUAAGUUUAGGUUUAAGCAUAAAGUGGAAAAAAGAGCAAUGUGCAAUAACACACCAUAAGUUUUAAGAUUAGGUUUAAGCAUAAAGUGAAAAAAAGAGCAAUGUGCAAGAUAGCUACCAAGAGAACACACAAAAAAUGCCCCCUUAGAA